GGUGGGGGGUGAAGUCCCUCAGCCUGGAUUGUGAGAGGGUGCAGGCCAGGCCGAGGGACCCCAUCAGUGCACC
rnacentral:pre_miRNA from 1 species